UUACUACAAUAUAACAUUUAAACAAAAAUAUUUUACUCAAUCAAAACAUCAUCUGUUUAUCAAUAAUGUCACUCUUGAUGAGUUAGGAGUUUAUUACUGUAUGAACACAGACACAACAAGCAAACUAUUCAGUGCCACCAGAUUACACAUCACUGGUAAGUGAUUCAAUCAUGUUAACUGUAUACAUUUUAACAUAAUUACAACUAAAACGUCAACUAAACCGUUCAGUGAAUGAAGAGUGUUUGUUAUAAAAGUACAGAGCAAAUUCCAGGAAGCCAAAAUAAAAUUGAAGUGACGCAUGUUGGUCCGACUCUGACAGAAUGGAAGAUUAUUGCCAUCAUAUUUGCUGUAUUUAAUGCUGUUAUGCUCAUCGUGGUUAUAGGACUUGCAGUGGCUCUUGUUCAUGAAAGAGCCAGAAAAAGCACAAAACAAUUUGAAGAUAUCGACCCACAGGAGCUCAUGGAUUUUGAACAAGACUCAACACAAAUAAAGUAUGUUCUGGUGGACGUUCCCACACAGUUUUAGUCUGUCCAUGUCAACGGCACCUAGACAACUGCCCAAAUGAUGAAAUCCUUAACAUGAUCCUGCUUCAUUUCUUAUAUUAUUUGAUAAAGUAUAUUC